rnacentral:rRNA from 1 species
GAUGAACGCUGGCGGCGUGCUUAACACAUGCAAGUCGAACGAAGCACUUUAUUUGAUUUCCUUCGGGACUGAUUAUUUUGUGACUGAGUGGCGGACGGGUGAGUAACGCGUGGGUAACCUGCCUUGUACAGGGGGAUAACAGUUGGAAACGGCUGCUAAUACCGCAUAAGCGCACAGCAUCGCAUGAUGCAGUGUGAAAAACUCCGGUGGUAUAAGAUGGACCCGCGUUGGAUUAGCUAGUUGGUGAGGUAACGGCCCACCAAGGCGACGAUCCAUAGCCGACCUGAGAGGGUGACCGGCCACAUUGGGACUGAGACACGGCCCAAACUCCUACGGGAGGCAGCAGUGGGGAAUAUUGCACAAUGGGCGAAAGCCUGAUGCAGCGACGCCGCGUGAGCGAAGAAGUAUUUCGGUAUGUAAAGCUCUAUCAGCAGGGAAGAUAAUGACGGUACCUGACUAAGAAGCACCGGCUAAAUACGUGCCAGCAGCCGCGGUAAUACGUAUGGUGCAAGCGUUAUCCGGAUUUACUGGGUGUAAAGGGAGCGCAGGCGGUGCGGCAAGUCUGAUGUGAAAGCCCGGGGCUCAACCCCGGUACUGCAUUGGAAACUGUCGUACUAGAGUGUCGGAGGGGUAAGCGGAAUUCCUAGUGUAGCGGUGAAAUGCGUAGAUAUUAGGAGGAACACCAGUGGCGAAGGCGGCUUACUGGACGAUAACUGACGCUGAGGCUCGAAAGCGUGGGGAGCAAACAAAAUUCGCUUCCCUGGUAGUCCUCGCCCGUAAACGACGCAAAAAGGGUGGUGGGAAGCAAAGCUUCUCGGUGCCGUCGCAAACGCAGUAAGUAUUCCUCCUGGGGAGUACGUUCGCAAGAAUGAAACUCAAAGGAAUUGACGGGGACCCGCACAAGCGGUGGAGCAUGUGGUUUAAUUUGAAGCAACGCGAAGAACCUUACCAAGUCUUGACAUCCUUCUGACAGGUACUUAAUCGUACCUUCUCUUCGGAGCAGGAGUGACAGGUGGUGCAUGGUUGUCGUCAGCUCGUGUCGUGAGAUGUUGGGUUAAGUCCCGCAACGAGCGCAACCCUUAUCUUUAGUAGCCAGCGGUUUAGCCGGGCACUCUAGAGAGACUGCCUGGGAUAACCUGGAGGAAGGCGGGGAUGACGUCAAAUCAUCAUGCCCCCUAUGACUUGGGCUACACACGUGCUACAAUGGCGUAAACAAAGGGAAGCAAAGCUGUGAAGCCGAGCAAAUCUCAAAAAUAACGUCUCAGUUCGGACUGUAGUCUGCAACCCGACUACACGAAGCUGGAAUCGCUAGUAAUCGCAGAUCAGAAUGCUGCGGUGAAUACAUUCCCGGGUCUUGUAC